ensembl:lncRNA
GUGAUCAAGCGAUUGCCAAAGUUUAUUGCUGAUACAUCUGAUUAUAUAGUUACAUUGCUCUGUUAGCUAAGUGUCAUACACCCGGAUACAACAAUUUCAUUGCUCCUCCCAAAAAGUCUAACAUGCUUAUUUGCUAAAUACCAUGGUUUACUUGCUAAAUAUUGCAUAUCUGUCACCAUCCUUAAAACCUUCUGCGUUUUGUAAUUUCACGUCCUGUUCUUUCUUUCAAUGGAAAGUUUCAACACAACUGUUACUUCUUUACACAUAGUUUUAGUUCCUUAUACAUAGCAUUAGUUCCUUAUACAUAGCUCUAGCUGCUCUUGCUAAGUCCUUGCGGUUUCUGCUCGCACUUCCUUAUGCAUAGCCUUAGCUGCUCUUGCUAAAUAACCCUAUAGUUGCCAAAAGACCUAAGCUCUGCUUCAAGCAAUAGUUCUGCCCAUUGAUCUGUGGCCUCUGCUCACCUCCGUUACCAGCCUGUCCACAAAUCCCCCUUUUUGUUUUUGAGCGGAGGCACUUACGCCUCGUCCUCAUAUACAUGUCCAUUUUUCAUCAUGAAUGUAUUGAUGAUGCCAUCCGAUGUAGGCAACUGUUGUACUAACCAGAUUUUGGAUAUUGUUUUUGCCAUUAACUUCUUCCCACAAGCAAAGAUUCCACAAAUAAUACAAAAAAGAACUACAAGGGUUAAUAAUAGUUGCAGUAAGCUAUAUAUCAGCGGUUUUAACCACCCACUAAUUCCCAGGUUCUUCAGCCAAUCAUCCAGUCCGGUCUCAAUUCGAAUCUUGUCAACAUUCUCUCGUAGCUCUUGGAUCUUUGCAUGUAUCGAUUUCGAAUGAUCAGAUAAAUUAAAACAACACAUUCCAUCAAAAUCAUUACAACCAUGUCCAUUUGCUAACAAAAGAAAAUCUAUAGCCGCGUGAUUUUGUAAAAUAGCUUUACGAUUACUAUCAACAUCUUUCAUUAGGUCGGUACAGAUUUCUGAGGUGAGGUUAGCUUGUUUCGCAGCCCAACAUGCCAAUUUUUGCAGAUUUGCCUUAGCAAUUGUAGAUGCACAGCCAGGACAAAAUAUGCUGGCCAACAGAUUUUCAGCCUUCCCUAUAAGUGAUAUUGAAUCAUCACAUGUUGAUGACAAGGUGUGUAAUUCUCGUUUAGUUCGAGUUCUAUUUUUGUUUUUUGAAAAGUUCUACAGAGGAUGCUAGUAGACUAAGUCUUCCUAAAUAACACGGUCCCCCAAGCGGAGAUUUUGGGAUGCCCUGCCAGGCACGAUCACCACAAAUCAAAAAGACUCCCUUAGGUAAAGCUAACGACAUGUUUGUGAAUAGUUCAUGUCGACCAGACUCUUUGAGCCCCACAGCUCCCCCACACCAUGCUCGGGUCUCGGAGGCGUUUCGUAUCCCAUAUAUACCCGACCCAGAUACAUCGGUCCAUACCUCAAGUGCCUGGCAUUGCACACCGCUCUCAGAGCUUACACACCUCAUUCUAACCGGGGUAUCAAUUAUAUUAGCGCUAAAGCCAUCUUUAGUUCCAUUUAUGGAUCCUGCUAGCUGCAAUUCCUGUGGAUCCUAUGGUAACGUUUUAUUCAAGUGCUGAAUUAAUAACACAGACAUCCAGGCUUGUGUCCGGUUGGCGAUAUUACUUUUGACACAGCCUCCACACCACACCUGCUUAUUAGAGGCCGGUUUUGACCGGCAUUGUGUUCGAAUAUGACCCAAUUUUCCACAAUUAUAGCAUCUCUUAUCUCUAGUUUUCCCCCCUUUCUUCUGUGAAAAGGUUGAACAGCAGCAGCGAAUGCCUCAGCCAUAUAAGCACUUUUUGCUUAUGCCCCAUACGCUCCACUGCCUCAAGCAGCUGAGCAGCAGACGUUCCCCUUGGCAACGUACUCAGAAUUUGUUUUGUCUGAUCAUUGGCCCCAUCAAAAGCCACAAUAUCUAAUAAUUUUCCCUUCAUUUCAUCACUCAAAUCGGGAUGUUUUCUUAAUGCGUCAAGCAGUCUAUCAAUAAAUUGUUGGUAAGAUUCUGUUGAACCCUGCUUAACAGACAAGAAACCCGGAGCAGUUUUUCAUCAGGUAGGGCAUACCAAGCUUUCAACGCUUGCUCCUGGGACAAGGCUAAAACCGCCGUUGGCAAAUUAGCUUGCGUCUGCGGGUCGUCAUAUUGAGCUUUUCCUAACAAAACAUCGGCUAUUACUCCAAACAACGGAUCUCCUGGCUGGCGAGGCUGACUAGCAACCCUUUGGCAGGCUAGAUCCCACUUAUUAAAAAACCACAGCUGCAAAUGCGGAACAAGCAGCGACUGGGCAAGCAACCGAAUAUCAUACGGCAUUAAGAUAUAUGCUGAAAAUAUGUGAGCAAUUAUGGCCUGAGUAUAAGAUGACUUCAGGCCAUAGGUGCUCACAGCUUGUUGGGCCUCCUUGACUAUUUUUAAGUCUAGUGCCUCCCAUUCUUUUGCCCCCUGCACCGUAGUAAACACUGGAUAAGCGGAGGGCCCCAUAUCAGUAAAUUCCCCAUCAAUUAUUGCAUCCCGAAUGAACCCGCGCCAACGAUGUGCCGGAUUAUUACUCCCGUCAGAUCCCACGGACCCAUCCCCACUAAGCCCCCCUUUCAAAAAGGGGUUAGAAGAGGGUGGAGCCGAUUUGCCCCGCUGCUUUGCCGCCGGCUUCCAAGGCUGCCAGCCUUUGUAGGAUGGAUUGAUGUUUGUCCCCUGAGCCUGCAACCAGAUGUUGGUGAGCCGAGCAAACCGAUUGAUCAGAUUCAGAGUCAGAAUCAGGGAGUGGAGGAUACAAGUCCGGCUCAGCCGCCGGAGAGUCCGGACCCGGAUCCGGUUUGGACUCUGGGUCCCCUUCCUCUGGGUCCGGGGCAUGAGCAGCCACUUCUGUCGUCUGCAAUGCAUUCUGCAGAUGGCGACGGAGUUUUCCCUUGCCUGCUGUUUGUGUUGACUGUUUCAGAAUCAUCCCAGGCACAACAGGAGGAGCAAACGCCAUAGCUGUGGCAUCUGCUCCUGAACCUGACUGUUCCGAAGAGGGCGCAGUGGCCAUAAGUACAGAAGCCACGGCCGUUCGCUCUGAUUUCAUCUCUUUCAAGGUCUCUAACAUCAACCGCCACAAAGUGGAGUGUUUCUGUGCAUCUUUUUCCCUUUGCUGAUCUCAUCCCACAGCGCUUGUCCUAUACGCUCCCAUUCAGAAAUUGCAAAUGCUGCCUGCACCGUGGGGAUAAAGCCACGAUCACGGGACCUAUUUUAACAGCCUAUUUUAACAGCCUCUGUAAGGCGGCACUGUCAUAUUGCAACCCUCUCUUAGAGAGAAUAUGUUGGAGGAGCUUCACCACUGCCUGUUCCUCUUUGGAUAGCGAGUGCCUCAUCUCCUCCCCGGCCGCUCACCUGAUCCGGGUGAGAUUUCCGAAGUUUUGCAGGUACCUGACUGUCGUCCAGCACCGGGGCAGUGCUGAUGUCGACCGGCUCUCCGCCCCCUCUUUUUCGUCGGCUUGUCAGACUCAUCCGUACGAAUCGCCGACCCGAGGGUCCCUGUUCAGGCGUCACUUGUAGACGUGGGAGUCACGGACAACGCAGAGACGAUCAAUGUGAUCAAGCGAUUGCCA